CCUACGGGAGGCAGCAGUAGGGAAUCUUCCACAAUGGGCGAAAGCCUGAUGGAGCAACGCCGCGUGGGUGAAGAAGGUCUUCGGAUCGUAAAACCCUGUUGUUAGAGACGAAAGUGCGUGAGAGUAACUGUUCAUGUUUCGACGGUAUCUAACCAGAAAGCCACGGCUAACUACGUGCGAGCAGCCGCGGUAAUACGUAGGUGGCAAGCGUUAUCCGGAUUUACUGGGCGUAAAGGGAACGCAGGCGGUCAUUUAAGUCAGAUGUGAAAGCCUUGGGCUCAACCGGAGUAGUGCAUUGGAAACUGGCAGGCUUGAGUGCCGUAGAGGAGGGUAGAAUUCCAUGUGUAGCGGUGAAAUGCGUAGAUAUAUGGAGGAACACCAGUGGCGAAGGCGGCUCCCUGGAC
rnacentral:rRNA from 1 species